CACGUAGGGGGCAAGCGUUGUUCGGAAUUACUGGGCGUAAAGGGCAUGUAGGCGGCCCUGUAAGUCUGGCGUGGAAGCCCAUGGCUCAACCAUGGGAUUGCGCUGGAAACUGCGGGGCUUGAAUCAUGGAGAGGGAGCUAGAAUUCCUGGUGUAGGGGUGAAAUCUGUAGAGAUCAGGAAGAAUACCAGUGGCGAAGGCGAGCUCCUGGCCAAUGAUUGACGCUGAGGUGCGAAAGUGUGGGGAU
rnacentral:rRNA from 1 species